rnacentral:rRNA from 1 species
AACUGCGAAUGGCUCAUUAAAUCAGUUAUCGUUUAUUUGAUAGUACCCUACUACAUGGAUACCUGUGGUAAUUCUAGAGCUAAUACAUGCGCAAAACCCCGACUUCGGAAGGGGUGUAUUUAUUAGAUAAAAAACCAAUGCCCUUCGGGGCUCCUUGGUGAUUCAUAAUAACUUCACGAAUCGCAUGGCCUUGCGCCGGCGAUGGUUCAUUCAAAUUUCUGCCCUAUCAACUUUCGAUGGUAGGAUAGUGGCCUACCAUGGUGGCAACGGGUAACGGGGAAUUAGGGUUCGAUUCCGGAGAGGGAGCCUGAGAAACGGCUACCACAUCCAAGGAAGGCAGCAGGCGCGCAAAUUACCCAAUCCCGAUCCGGGGAGGUAGUGACAAUAAAUACUGAUACAGGGCUCUUUUGGGUCUUGUAAUUGGAAUGAGUACAAUCUAAAUCCCUUAACGAGGAACAAUUGGAGGGCAAGUCUGGUGCCAGCAGCCGCGGUAAUUCCAGCUCCAAUAGCGUAUAUUAAAGUUGUUGCAGUUAAAAAGCUCGUAGUUGAACCUUGGGCCCGUCCUGCCGGUCCGCCUCACCGCGAGUACUGGUCCGGAUGGGCCUUUCUUUCUGGGGAAUCCCAUGGCCUUCACUGGCUGUGGCGGGGAACCAGGACUUUUACUGUGAAAAAAUUAGAGUGUUCAAAGCAGGCCUUUGCUCGGAUACAUUAGCAUGGAAUAAUAGAAUAGGACGUGCGGUUCUAUUUUGUUGGUUUCUAGGACCGCCGUAAUGAUUAAUAGGGAUAGUCGGGGGCGUCAGUAUUCAGCUGUCAGAGGUGAAAUUCUUGGAUUUGCUGAAGACUAACUACUGCGAAAGCAUUCGCCAAGGAUGUUUUCAUUAAUCAGGGAACGAAAGUUAGGGGAUCGAAGACGAUCAGAUACCGUCGUAGUCUUAACCAUAAACUAUGCCGACUAGGGAUCGGGCGGGGUUUCUAUGAUGACCCGCUCGGCACCUUACGAGAAAUCAAAGUUU